AAUAGUCAUAAUCUUUACCUAUGAUAUUGUAAAUUUUUAGAAUUGACAAGGAUAAAAUUGUCAAAAAAUAGGGUUUGUGCUUUUUGCACCAAUAAUUUUGGUUUUUUUUUAGUUAUUUUCGUUUACAAACUAUUGUUAAGGGUAAUAUUGUCUUUGCAUGGUUAACUAACGGUCAAUGUUAAACUUAACUGACGGUAGGAGGUUUUUUACAAAUAAAUCAAUUCUCACCAUCUACUUGCAACAAGCCCAUACCUCAGGGGAGGUUUUAAAAAAUUAUCCGGCUGAAUAUCGGUGCUGAUUAAUUUUUUCGAAGUCUCAGACUCAGAGGGAGAUCAGCCCCUGAUUACAUAAUGCAUCCAAUUACCAAUUUUUUUCGCGAUCAGAGUAGAAGCCGUCAAACUGAUAAGUUAAAAAGGUUGCUUUAGAAAGCGACGAGCCAUUCAAAGUUUGAACAUCAACAUCAAACCCACUAACCCAGCGAAGUUAUUGUGUGUAGGAGUCGGCCGAAAAAUGGAAGACAGAGGAGAUGCAUAAUCGCCGUCGAUCAAGAAAAUGAAUAUACAAUCAUGAUCAUCAUCAGAAUCACAAAAUAUGGAAAUGUAUCAUAAUCUCAGAAGUAAGAACCAUAAUGUCAUUCAAUGAAUCAAUUCAGUACUCAUCUCCUCAAUUUUUUUUUUUAAUUUUUAAAAAACACGAAAUUGCUUCCCAGAUUUUCAGACACAGAAGAUGCAGGGCCUUGCAAAAUCAAAGUUUUACUCAGUAUCAAACAUUAUUACAAAAAAUAAAAUAAAAAAAGAUUAUUAAUAACAUACAUGUCUAGACAACAAGGGUACCAUCUCGGCCUAGUGCCUUCCAUCAGUCAUCAGACACAAGCAAUGAAAAGAAAAUGAAUUAAAAACAAAAAAAAAAAAAAAAUCAGCCGUGAUUAGACGCUAAUUAAAGUUGAGAGCUUGAUCAAGAAUCAAGACUCAGAGGCCGCAUCUGAACUGUAGCCACUAGGAGUUUCAGCUGGGGUUGAUGAGCUUGAGCUAAGCCCACCACCACCACCAAGUCCAUUUCUCCUUCUCUUUCCUCCAGCUGAUCCGAGCAAAUCCUUCAAUAUUUUCUUCAAAACUUGGCCUCUUUUUGGUGGCAGGCGAAGGUUUUGGUUCUUCGUGAGCUUAUAUGCUUCGUACUCCAUUUUCUUGAAAUGGGUAUACUUCAAUUUCAAUUCGAGAGAUGUUUGAUGAUAAGUGAUUUGCGAUAUACUGAAUUGGCGAGAAGGGAAGAUUUAUAGCGAACUCAGUUACUUACUUGCUAAGUAUUUUGCAAUGCAGAUUUGAGUGAGUGGUAGUAGUACCACUGAAUCAUUGACUCAAGACUCAAAGAGGUAAUGAUUCCAUGGUCUUGGGACCAUUGUAUCCGAGGUACAAGAGCUUAACUUACAAAAAAAGAAAAUUGAAACUUGAAAGUUCCAAUUAUGUAUGUGUCGGAGAAAAGUCUAAAUUAUUAUGAAAUUAUUAUUUUACUUAAGGAUCCAGCUAUGGUGCCACAGUUG
rnacentral:lncRNA from 1 species